GACGUAGGGCGCAAGCGUUGUCCGGAAUUACUGGGCGUAAAGGGCUCGUAGGCGGCCAACUAAGUCAGACGUGAAAUCCCUCAGCUUAACUGGGGAACUGCGUCUGAUACUGGAUGGCUUGGAUCCGGGAGAGGGAUGCGGAAUUCCAGGUGUAGCGGUGAAAUGCGUAGAUAUCUGGAGGAACACCGGUGGCGAAGGCGGCAUCCUGGACCGGUAUUGACGCUGAGGAGCGAAAGCCAGGGGAGCAAACGGG
rnacentral:rRNA from 1 species